rnacentral:pre_miRNA from 11 species
GACCGCACGAGAUAAUCGAUUAUCCCGUGCGAUUCCGUUAUGUCGACCGUACGGGAUAAUGAAUUAUCCCGUGUGGUU